rnacentral:misc_RNA from 1 species
ACUACACGGGUAUCUAAUCACUGUUUGCUCCCCGCUUUCGUGCAUGAGCGUCAGUGUUAUCCCAGGAGGCUGCCUUCGCCAUCGGUGUUCCUCCGCAUAUCUACGCAUUUCACUGCUACGCAUGAGAAUUCCACCUCCCUCUGACACACUCUAGCUCGGUAGUUAAAAAUGCAGUUCCAAAGUUAAAGCUCUGGGAUUUCACGUCUUUCUUUCCGAACCGCCUGCGCACGCUUCGCCCGGUAAUUCCGAUUAACGCUUGCACCCUACGUAUUACCGCGGCUGCUGGCACAUGGCCCAGCCCGGUGCUUAUUCUGCAGGUACCCGUCAGUUGCACGGGAACGUCGGCGCCCGUUUUCUUCCUGCCAAAGUGCUUUACCAACCCGAAGGCCUUCAACGCACACGCGGGAUGGCUGGAUCAGGGUUUCCCCCAUUGUCAAAAUUCCCACUGCUGCCCCGUG